rnacentral:rRNA from 1 species
UGGGGAAUUUUGGACAAUGGGCGCAAGCCUGAUCCAGCAAUGCCGCGUGCAGGAUGAAGGCCUUCGGGUUGUAAACUGCUUUUGUACGGAACGAAACGGCUCUGGUUAAUACCUGGGGCUAAUGACGGUACCGUAAGAAUAAGCACCGGCUAACUACGUGCCAGCAGCCGCGGUAAUACGUAGGGUGCGAGCGUUAAUCGGAAUUACUGGGUGUAAAGCGUGCACAGGCGGUGAUGUAAGACCGAUGUGAAAUCCCCGGGCUCAACCUGGGACCUGCAUUUGUGACUGCAUCGCUGGAGUGCGGCAGAGGGGGGUGGAAUUCCGCGUGUAGCAGUGAAAUGCGUAGAUAUGCGGAGGAACACCGAUGGCGAAGGCAAUCCCCUGGGCCUGCACUGACGCUCAUGCACGAAAGCGUGGGGAGCAAACA